rnacentral:rRNA from 1 species
UGCAGUCGAACGGUAACAUUUCAAAGCUUGCUUUGAAGAUGACGAGUGGCGGACGGGUGAGUAAUGCUUGGGAAUUUGCCUUUAGGUGGGGGACAACAGUUGGAAACGACUGCUAAUACCGCAUAAUUGCUACGGCACAAAGGGGGCUUCGGCUCUCGCCUUUAGAGAAGCCCAAGUGGGAUUAGGUAGUUGGUGAGGUAAAGGCUCACCAAGCCGACGACCCCUAGCUGGUCUGAGAGGAUGAUCAGCCACACUGGAACUGAGACACGGUCCAGACUCCUACGGGAGGCAGCAGUGGGGAAUAUUGCACAAUGGGCGCAAGCCUGAUGCAGCCAUGCCGCGUGUGUGAAGAAGGCCUUCGGGUUGUUAAGCACUUUCAGUCGUGAGGAAGGGUUAGUAGUUAAUGCCUGCUAGCUUUGACGUUAGCGACAGAAGAAGCACCGGCUAACUCCGUGCCAGCAGCCGCGGUAAUACGGAGGGUGCGAGCGUUAAUCGGAAUUACUGGGCGUAAAGCGUACGCAGGCGGCUAAGUAAGUCAGAUGUGAAAGCCCCGGGCUCAACCUGGGAACUGCACUUGAAACUGCUUGGCUAGAGUGCGAGAGAGGGUGGUGGAAUUUCAGGUGUAGCGGUGAAAUGCGUAGAGAUCUGAAGGAAUACCAAUGGCGAAGGCAGCCACCUGGGUCGACACUGACGCUCAUGUACGAAAGCGUGGGUAGCAAACAGGAUUAGAUACCCUGAUAGUCCACGCCGUAAACGAUGUCUACUAGCAGUUUGCCUCUUAAGAGGUGUCUU